UAUUCCUCUCCAUGUUUAUUAAACUGAACCAUCUCCUUUAACUUCCCCAACUUGAUUAUUCUGAGAUUUAGACGCUUAACUCCAUCAAUUUCAUCACAUAAAUCCCUUCAAUUCUUCAAAACCCCCUGAUUUUUGAAGAAACUGUAAUUGAAUCCAGUUUCAAUUUUCAAAUCCACAUCAUAGAGAGAGAGCGAGUAAAUAUUUUUUUUUUUUUUUUUUUUCAAUAGUUAAAUCUCUCUGUACAUCUCCAUCUCCUAUUACCUUGAAUAAAGAGAUACAUAGAUUCAUCUUGGCAUAGUGAAAGCGGUGGCGGAUUGAUGGCAAAAUCGAUUGUAGAGAAUCAUAAUCAAAAAGGGAGCGGAGGAGAGCUAAAGACGCGAAAUCAGUAAGAUUCUUGGGAUUUUGAGGUUCUGAUAUUUGUACAAGAAGACGAUUGGUUUUACAAUUGUUGCAUACUAAAUGUAAAUCUGAUGCUGGAGCUGAUGAAGAGUAUGGAGAGUUUUUGUACUUACCUAAAAGAGUUAGGCCCCUUGCUGCGAGAUUACAAACUUUUGAUUUUCCGCAACCACUUAUAAGUAUCCGCUUUUGUUUACUGGUUCUUAUUAGUUAUUUCCUCAGAACAUGGGACCUAUCUACUGAUUUUGAUAUUUGUAUAAGGAAAGUGAAUUGUCAAGUGAUUCUUGGGAUCUAUAUGGAUCUAAGAUUUUCAAACCUUGGGUUUGUAAAGAGUUGGAAAAUGAGUGACCCGUUGCUGUUAUUUUUGUUAUUGUUUUGGAGUUCAUUAAAACUACUUCACAUCAAUUAACAACAGCUCAUAGCCUCAUACCGCUGCUUCAUUCUUUAUGGCAGAGGUAAUGGUAGAUCCGAUUUAAUGCCUAUGAAGACUGAGACUUCAUGAGGGGAGAUUUAUCAGUUUUAUCACACUAAAACUGCAUCUCAGGUGUAAAUUUAACAAAUAUUUUUAUGAGAAUAUAUAUUCUUUUUUAUGCUACUCGUGAUGCAGUUUUAUUCCUGCUUCAUUGCAGGUGAAACCAGAAAGUCCUACUCUUGUUUCCUCUUCUUUUUGUUGGAAGAGACACUCAAAUUUCAUUCAUAACCUAGUUUGUUCACAAGUAUCAAUUAUGAAUAAUCAUAAAGAGAGAUUCGAGGAAUCCUCUGAAUCAUAAAUUCAUUUGUGUUUCUAACAUACACAUGGGGCUUAAUUUGUUAGAAUACAUAGAUUAUAGAGAAGAAAUAAAAGCUUCAUGAUUUUGAGCUACAGUUGAGCAAUGUAUCUAACCAGGAUGAAGGGCUUAUGGAAGCUCAACAAGGUAUAGAAGAAAUAACGGGAGAAUUGGGUAUCUCAUUCAUAAGAGUUACUGACGGUGCUAAGAUGGUUUUUAUAAGGAUCAAGGUAAUAUCAGUUGUUGACAUCCUACUAGUACUGGGCUAUAGGCACACAACCUAGGCGUAUUUGGUAUCUGCAAUUUGGAUAUUGAAAUUGCACAGUUACAAGCCAAAGUGCCAUGAACAUUUUAUCCGUGUAGGUUGUUUACUGCUGCUAACAACUAUAGGCACACUAACUAGGUGUAUUACUACUUGCUUACUUGGGUCUUAUUAGUUUACAGGACGACCCCACCAAUCUCUCUAUUCCCAGAAGUGCAAUAUUCAAAGUCUAUUUACAAGCCUGUUACUAUGUUCUUGCUUGGUGAUAGGAUAUCAUGUUCAAGGGAUAUAGGAGUGCUGAACAUCAAACAUAAGUCUACGAAGCAUAAUCCACUUUAUCAUAUUUAUAUAUUUUAUGAAUCCAUGUAUGCUAAUCUAUGCAGUGGCUUACAACAACCGAUCUUGUCUUUUCGGAAGGACGGUAUCUUUUACUGGAAGAUGUAAAUGUUACGAUCAAUUCUUCAAAAGGUUUAUAUCUUACUGAAAGUAUAUCGUCUGAUGAACAAAAGGAGCUCCGGCACCUGGAAGUUAAUUAUGUUUUGAUUUUUUUUUUCUUCUUUGUUGUUUUGAACCAGAAGUAGCUUCUAUUGUUGAAUUUGAGAUGUUUGGUUUCUCAAAGUUGUAAUUUUUCUUUUGAAGCAUCGAUUGUUACUGAAUUCAAGUUAACUUAAAUAAAAUGAU